rnacentral:rRNA from 1 species
GUGCCAGCCGCCGCGGUAAUACGAAGGGGGCUAGCGUUGUUCGGAAUUACUGGGCGUAAAAGCGCACGUAGGCGGACACUUAAGUCAGGGGUGAAAUCCCGGGGCUCAACCUCGGAAUUGCCUCUGAUACUGGGUGUCUCGAGUCCGAGAGAGGUGAGUGGAACUCCGAGUGUAGAGGUGAAAUUCGUAGAUAUUCGGAAGAACACCAGUGGCGAAGGCGGCUCACUGGCUCGGUACUGACGCUGAGGUGCGAAA